rnacentral:tRNA from 1 species
CGCGGCCUUCGCCGACGCGGAGGCGCGCCUCUUCCUGCGCGGCGACGACGUCGACCCGCUCGGCCCGGGCGACCGCGUCC